rnacentral:lncRNA from 1 species
GGGGCUCCACAACACCUCGCAGGCUACACGCCAACAGCCACUGCCAUCCACUGCCACAGCACGCCCGAUGCGGGGCCCUCGCAGGAGUCCACCAGGAGCCAACAGCCGGUUGUCCUGCCGAGGGAUCUGUACGGGAAAAAGGGUUAAGAACGGCGCUACACCGCCCCCGGGCCCCGCUCCGCGCCGAGCCCAGCGCCACCGACCGCGCAGCGCCACAAAAUGGCCGCCUCGCUGCGGCGCCGCCACCCGCCGCCAGGGAGGGGCGGGGCUGAG